GAUGAACGCUAGCGGCAGGCCUAAUACAUGCAAGCCGAACGGCAAGUUUGAUAGCAAUAUUGGACCUAGAGUGGCGCAAGGGUGCGUAACACGUAUGCAACCUGCCCGCGACAGGAGGAUAGCUCCCCGAAAGGGGAAUUAACCCUCCAUAACACCAUGAGAAGGCAUCUGAUUAUGGUUAAACCGCAAGGGGUCGCGGAUGGGCAUGCGGUUGAUUAGCUAGUUGGCGGGGUAAAGGCCCACCAAGGCGGUGAUCAAUAGGGGUUCUGAGAGGAAGGUCCCCCACACUGGCACUGGGAUACGGGCCAGACUCCUACGGGAGGAAGCAGUAGGGAAUAUUGGACAAUGGUUGCAAGACUGAUCCAGCCAUGCCGCGUGCAGGAAGAAGGCCUUCUGGGUCGUAAACUGCUUUGUCCGGUGGAUAAAAUACCCGGGCGCGGGGAAUUGAAGGUAACAGGGGAAUAAGCCACGGCUAACUACGUG
rnacentral:rRNA from 1 species